rnacentral:rRNA from 1 species
GAAUCUUCCACAAUGGACGAAAGUCUGAUGGAGCAAUGCCGCGUGAGCGAAGAAGGUUUUCGGAUCGUAAAGCUCUGUUGGAAGGGAAGAACACGUACGGGAGUAACUGCCCGUGCCAUGACGGUACCUUAUUAGAAAGCCACGGCUAACUACGUGCCAGCAGCCGCGGUAAUACGUAGGUGGCAAGCGCUGUCCGGAAUUAUUGGGCGUAAAGCGCGCGCAGGCGGUUCUUUAAGUCUGAUGUGAAAGCCCACGGCUCAACCGUGGAGGGUCAUUGGAAACUGGAGAACUUGAGUACAGAAGAGGAAAGCGGAAUUCCACGUGUAGCGGUGAAAUGCGUAGAGAUGUGGAGGAACACCAGUGGCGAAGGCGCCCUUCCCGCUUCAACAGACGCUAAGGUACGGAAGCUUAGGUAGCAAAC